UACGUAGGGGGCAAGCGUUGUCCGGAAUCAUUGGGCGUAAAGAGCGUGUAGGCGGCCCGGUAAGUCCGCCGUGAAAGCCCAGGGCUCAACCCUGGGAUGCCGGUGGAAACUGCCGGGCUAGAGUCCGGAAGAGGCGAGUGGAAUUCCUGGUGUAGCGGUGAAAUGCGCAGAUAUCAGGAGGAACACCAAUGGCGAAGGCAGCUCGCUGGGACGGUACUGACGCUGAGACGCGAAAGCGUGGGGAGCAAACAGG
rnacentral:rRNA from 1 species